GAGUGAACGCUGGCGGUAGGCCUAACCCAUGCAAGUCGAACGGCAGCACAGUAAGAGCUUGCUCUUACGGGUGGCGAGUGGCGGACGGGUGAGGAAUACAUCGGAAUCUACUUUUUCGUGGGGGAUAACGUAGGGAAACUUACGCUAAUACCGCAUACGACCUACGGGUGAAAGCAGGGGAUCUUCGGACCUUGCGCGAUUGAAUGAGCCGAUGUCGGAUUAGCUAGUUGGCGGGGUAAAAGCCCACCAAGGCGACGAUCCGUAGCUGGUCUGAGAGGAUGAUCAGCCACACUGGAACUGAGACACGGUCCAGACUCCUACGGGAGGCAGCAGUGGGGAAUAUUGGACAAUGGGCGCAAGCCUGAUCCAGCCAUACCGCGUGGGUGAAGAAGGCCUUCGGGUUGUAAAGCCCUUUUGUUGGGAAAGAAAAGCAGCAGGUUAAUACCCCGCUGUUCUGACGGUACCCAAAGAAUAAGCACCGGCUAACUUCGUG
rnacentral:rRNA from 1 species